GACGGAGGAUGCAAGCGUUAUCCGGAAUGAUUGGGCGUAAAGCGUCCGCAGGUGGCAGUUCAAGUCUGCUGUCAAAGACCGAGGCUUAACCUCGGAAAGGCAGUGGAAACUGAACAGCUAGAGUAUGGUAGGGGCAGAGGGAAUUCCUGGUGUAGCGGUGAAAUGCGUAGAGAUCAGGAAGAACAUCGGUGGCGAAGGCGCUCUGCUGGACCAUAACUGACACUCAGGGACGAAAGCUAGGGGAGCGAAUGGG
rnacentral:rRNA from 1 species